rnacentral:rRNA from 1 species
AGACCCUCGGGCGAACGGCUCAAUAACACGUGGAUAAUCUGCCCUUAGGACAGGGAUAACCCCGGGAAACUGGGGAUAAUACCUGAUAAGUGAGGAUGUCUGGAACGAUUCCCCGCUUAAAGCUCCGGCGCCUAAGGAUGAGUCUGCGGCUGAUUAGGUAGUUGGUGGUGUAACGGACCACCAAGCCCCAGAUCAGUACGGGCGUUGAGAGACGGAGCCCGGAGAUGGGGGCUGAAAUACGGCCCCAGGCCCUACGGGGCGCAGCAGGCGCGAAAACUCCGCAAUUCGCGAAAGCGUGACGGGGGAACUCCAAGUGCUGCAGCGUUAGCUGUAGCUUUUAUAAAGUGUAAACAUCUUUAUGAAUAAGGGCGGGGCAAGACCGGUGCCAGCCGCCGCGGUAACACCGGCCGCUCAAGUGGUGGCCGUUAUUAUUGGGCCUAAAGCGUCCGUAGCCUGUCUGAUAAGUCCUUGGGUAAAUCCUGACGCUUAACGUUAGGAAUUCUAGGGAUACUGCCAGACUCGAGGCCGAGAGAAGUCAGAGGUACUCUUGGGGUAGCGGUGAAAUGCUGUAAUCCUGAGGGGACCACCAGUGGCGAAGGCGUCUGACUAGAGCGGGCCUGACGGUGAGGGACGAAAGCCAGGGUCGCGAACGGGAUUAGAUACCCCGGUAGUCCUGGCCGUAAACGCUGCGCGCUAGGUGUUGCAUGCUCUACGGGGGCAUGCAGUGC